GCAAACAUGCCCAACCUUUACUCACAUUCGAGAAAACACUCCCAAUAAGAUUGCUUGCUCCAAAAUCGAAGAGGCACCGUCCUCCGAAUCUCGAGAGCCAGACUCCCAACACGACUACUUUCUUUAAAAAUCGAAGAGAGGGUAAAGGAACAGUACCAUUGCUGGAUAAUUGGAAAGUCCCUGUGUGUCAACCUCUGUGCUUCGUGGCAAGGUAGACUAGCAAACAUGCCAAACCUUUACUCACAUUCGAGAAAACACUCCCAACAAGAUUGCUUGCUCCAAAAUCGAAGAGGCACCGCCCUCCGAAUCUCGAGAGCCAGACUCCCAACAUGAUUACUUUCUCAAAAAUCGAAGAGACACUGCUCCCCGAAUCUCGAGAGCCAGACCCCCAGCAUGAUUGCUUUCUCAAAAAUCGAUGAGGCAUCGUUCUCCGAAUCAAUCGAAGAGGCGCUCGCUUUCUCAAAAGCUGGGCUGCUCAGAGACCACGAGGGCCGAUCUCAGAAAUCGAAGAGGCACCUACUUUUCUAGCCUUGUCAGCACCUGUCACACGCACACUCAGCUUUGCAGAAAUUAUGGGCAUUCUGUCGAAGACUUCUGGUGAAGUAGAAAGCACAUGAAUCUUACUGUUCAAUCACCCACUUCCCACACGCAACAAUAGCUCAUGGGUACCACAAAUAACUUUGCCAAAGUUCUCUGCCAAAGUUCUCUGCCAAAGUUGAGCACGUGAAGCUUGCAGCUCCCACUACAUCGCUCUGACCAAGAAAGGUAAAAGAAUAGCAAAGAAACAGCACUAACAAAAGUUUAGACACAUAAAUUUUGAAGGUCUAGCUACCAUAUUAUUACCCACAACUGUAAAGGAACAGUACCACUGCUGGAUAAUUGGAAAGUCCCUGUGUGUCAACCUCUGUGCUUCGUGGCAAGGUAGACUAGCAAACAUGCCCAACCUUUACUCACAUUCGAGAAAACACUCCCAAUAAGAUUGCUUGCUCCAAAAUCGAAGAGGCACCGUCCUCCGAAUCUCGAGAGCCAGACUCCCAACAUGACUACUUUCUCAAAAUCGAAGAGAGGGUAAAGGAACAGUACCAUUGCUGGAUAAUUGGAAAGUCCCUGUGUGUCAACCUUUGUGCUUCGUGGCAAGGUAGACUAGCAAACAUGCCCCAACCUUUACUCACAUUCGAGACAACACUCCCAACAAGAUUGCUUGCUCCAAAAUCGAAGAGGCACCGCCCUUCGAAUCUCGAGAGCCAGACUCCCAACAUGAUUACUUCCUCAAAAAUCGAAGAGACACUGCUCUCCGAAUCUCGAGAGUCAUACCCCCAACAUGAUUGCUUUCUCAAAAAUCGAAGAGGCAUCGUUCUCCGAAUCUCGAGAGCCAGAUACCACAGACCACUUUUUCAAAGUGCUCUGACAGAGUUAAAACAUGUGAAACUGGCAGCUCCCACUACCGUGCUAUGACCAAGCAGGGUAAAGGAAUAGCAUUACUACUUGUUGUUAGGGAGACUCCUAUAU
rnacentral:lncRNA from 1 species